CUGGAGGGGAGGAGACAAGGCAGGGCCACAGCGGGAGGCGGUGACGCGGCGCCGAGUGGUCUCUUGGGAGUUGUAGUUCUCCGACUGAAGAAAAAAGGGAUACAUCGUGGUUGAGGAAGCGUCCCGGCUCUCACUGCACUGCGCAUGCUCGGGGAGAGGCUCAGCCCCCUGCUGUUACUAUGGUCACCGACACACUGAGGAAGAGAACGUGUUCUUUGCUGCUGCUGGCUGAACAAGGGCCUUCUUGUCUUAAGGUCAGAUAUCAUGCCGAAGAUACUUCUUGGAGUCAAAUCACAGAGACAUUCUAGUGCUUGACCACAACACUUAUAUCCCUAUGGUAUUGAUGGCAGACAUCCGGGACUAUGAAUACAGUGAUGAACAGGUCCGGGGAAGCUCCUGAUGUCAAGAUCUACAAGGGAGGGGGAACGGUAUAAAGCACUGUAGUAGGUGCUGAAGAUAUAGAAGUAAACAGAACAUCAUCCCUGCCCUAAAGACGCUUCUGUGACUGUUCAUCUUGACUGGCCUGGUCAGUCCUGGUUUACACCUAUUUCCCCAAUAAUUAUAAAUAGCACCCCCUUUCGCUCUAAAGUGUCCAAGUUUGGGUGAUAGAUUACAUAUACCCUAUAAUAAUAUUUCCCACUAUUUCCCAUGAUGUUUUUGAAAUACUUGUAACUUUUGGAUAUAAAUAAAAACACAAACAGUGAAGGCCCCCAAAAUGUACUGACACUCUGUCUUGAUUUUGGAAUCACUAUUUCUGUCACCAUGUGUCAGGUGAAGUAAGUUCAUUGGGAAAGUGUGGCAUUUGGUUUUACGUUAUUUUUAAAAAAUGCAAGCACUGUUCAAUCUCCAGCAGGAGGACAGAAAACCAGUUAGAAAACUCAAGAAGAGAGAGAACACUGAGGUAAACGGAGGUAAUACUAUGUAUCGUACACUCAACUCCAACUUUGGUAGGAACUGGAGGUGAAUAGGAUGCGAGGGCCCUUGGCAGCCAGGAAUGUGUCAGGUGGAGCAGGCAAAGCCAUGGUUGGAGGCAUUUAGGGUCAAGAGCCUCUGAUCUUAGAAUUCAAGUUGGCAUCUGCCUUUCCCUCCAUUGGACACUUUGGUCUCUACCCCACUUCUAAAGGUACUGAACUCAUUGUUUUUCAAAGCUACCUGCAAUGUGCUUUUGUGAAAGGUCGGUGUCUGCAGAACAUCUAAUUACACAUCAUUUUGUGUACUGUUGUCUGAAUAUGUAUAUGUAUGUAUUUUGAUAUUGAAGACAAGCUAUUUUUAGUUUCCUUUUGGGUAUGUUUGGAGAAACUCUUAACUGUUGCUAUGCUGCUA